rnacentral:rRNA from 1 species
UGCAGUCGCACGAGAAACGGCCUUCGGGCCCGAGUACAGUGGCGAACGGGUGAGUAACGCGUGAGUGACGUGCCGCGAAGUGGAGGACAACUCACCGAAAGGUGGGCUAACACUCCAUAACACGCCGAGGCUAGGUCCUGGGCGUCAAAGGCCUUCGGGUCGCUUCGCGAUCGGCUCGCGCCCCAUUAGCUGGACGGUAGGGUAAAGGCCUACCGUGGCGAUGAUGGGUAGCUGGUCUGAGAGGAUGAUCAGUCACACUGGGACUGAGACACGGCCCAGACUCCUACGGGAGGCAGCAGUGGGGAAUCUUGCGCAAUGGGGGAAACCCUGACGCAGCGACGCCGCGUGUGUGAAGAAGGCCUUCGGGUCGUAAAGCACUGUCGGGCGGGAAGCAGAUCCUGUGGAGAACCCACAGGGUGUUGACGGUACCGCCAAAGGAAGCGCCGGCCAACUCCGUGCCAGCAGCCGCGGUAAGACGGAGGGCGCAAGCGUUGUUCGGAAUCAUUGGGCGUACAGGGCGCGCAGGCGGCCUGUCGGGUCCGAUGUGAAAUCCCGGGGCUCAACCCCGGAAGCGCAUCGGAAACUGGCAGGCUUGAGUCCGGGAGGGGCCAGUGGAAUUCCUGGAGUAGGGGUGAAAUCCGUAGAUAUCAGGAGGAACACCGGAGGUGAAAACGACUGGCUGGACCGGGACUGACGCUGA